rnacentral:tRNA from 1 species
ACUGGUAUAGCAUAAGAAGUGCACUUGUUUUAAGCGCAAGAGAUAAAAAUCAGUU